AGAGUUUGAUCCUGGCUCAGGACGAACGCUGACGGUGUGCUUUAGGCAUGCAAGUCGAACGAGAAAGCCCUCCGGGGUGAGUAAAGUGGCGAACGGGUGAGUAACACGUGGGCAACCUGCCCCUCGCAGGGGGACAACCGGAGGAAACUCCGGCUAAUACCCCGUACGCCUGUCGGAUCGCAUGGUCCGGCAAGGAAAGGUAGCUUCGGCCAUCCGGCGAGGGAUGGGCCCGCGUUGCAUUAGCUAGUUGGUGGGGUAACGGCCUACCAAGGCGACGAUGCGUAGCUGGUCUGAGAGGAUGAUCAGCCACACUGGGACUGAGACACGGCCCAGACUCCUACGGGAGGCAGCAGCCAGGAAUCUUCUACAAUGGGCGCAAGCCCGAUAGAGCAACGCCGCGUGGAGGACGACGGCCUUCGGGUUGUAAACUCCUUUCGGGGGGGAUGACAUGGACAGUACCCCCAGAAGCAGCCCCGGCUAACUCUGUGCCAGCAGCCGCGGUAAGACAGAGGGGGCAAGCGUUGUCCGGAUUUACUGGGCGUACAGCGCGCGCAGGUGGUCCACUAUGUGCCGUGUGACAAUUGGAGGCUUAACCUCCAGCGGCCACGGUAGACAGGCGGACUGGAGGCAGGGAGAGGGCUGUGGAAUACCCGGUGGAGCGGUGAAAUGCGUAGAGAUCGGGUGGAACACCAGCGGCGAAGGCGGCAGCCUGGCCCUGUACUGACACUGAGGCGCGAGAGCGUGGGGAGCGAACAGGAUUAGAUACCCCCGUAGUCC
rnacentral:rRNA from 1 species